rnacentral:rRNA from 1 species
GACGCCCUUGGGGUGUUGUUGGGUAGGGGAGCGUCGUGCACGCGAUGAAGCUAUACCGUGAGGGGUGGUGGAGUGUGUGCGAGUGAGAAUGCAGGCAUGAGUAACGAGAGUAAGGUGAGAAUCCUUACCGCCGGAUGACUAAGGGUUCCUGGGUCAAGUUCGUCUUCCCAGGGUGAGUCGGGACCUAAGGCGAGGCCGACAGGCGUAGUCGAUGGGAAUGCAGUGAAUAUUCUGCAGCCAGUGGAUGGUGACGAAUUGCGUAUGUUGUCUGACCUUACUGGAUUGGUCGGGCCUCGAAGCAGUUCCAGGAAAUAGCCUCCACAUUAGACCGUACCCGAAACCGACACAGGUGGACUGGUAGAGUAUACCAAGGCGCUUGAGAGAACUAUGUUGAAGGAACUCGGCAAUUUACCUCCGUAACUUCGGGAUAAGGAGGCCCAUUGCUCGCGCAAGCGGGCAGUGGGGGCACAGACCAGGGGGUGGCAACUGUUUAACAAAAACACAGGGCUCUGCGAAAUCGUAAGAUGACGUAUAGGGUCUGACGCCUGCCCGGUGCCGGAAGGUUAAGAGGAGAGGUGCAAGCCUUGAAUCGAAGCCCCGGUAAACGGCGGCCGUAACUAUAACGGUCCUAAGGUAGCGAAAUUCCUUGUCGGGUAAGUUCCGACCUGCACGAAUGGCGUAACGACUUCCCCACUGUCUCCAGGAGAUGCUCAGCGAAAUUGAAUUCUCCGUGAAGAUGCGGAGUACCCGCGGUUAGACGGAAAGACCCCGUGCACCUUUACUGCAGCUUCAGAGUGGCUGUGGGAAACAAUUGUGUAGAAUAGGUGGGAGGCUUUGAAGCAUGGGCGCCAGCUCGUGUGGAGCCACAAUGUGAAAUACCACCCUGUUGUUUUCUACAGUCUAACCUCGCACCGUUAUCCGGUGCAGGGACCCUCUGUGGCGGGUAGUUUGACUGGGGCGGUCGCCUCCUAAAGAGUAACGGAGGCGCGCGAUGGUAGGCUCAGGACGGUUGGAAACCGUCUGUUAGAGUGCAAUGGCAUAAGCCUGCCUGACUGCGAGACUGACAAGUCGAGCAGAGACGAAAGUCGGUCAUAGUGAUCCGGUGGUCCCGCGUGGAUGGGCCAUCGCUCAACGGAUAAAA